rnacentral:rRNA from 1 species
GACGAACGCUGGCGGCGUGCUUAACACAUGCAAGUCGAACGGAAAGGCCCUGCUUUUGUGGGGUGCUCGAGUGGCGAACGGGUGAGUAACACGUGAGUAACCUGCCCUUGACUUUGGGAUAACUUCUGGGAACUGGGGCUAAUACCGGAUAGGAGCUCCUGCUGCAUGGUGGGGGUUGGAAAGUUUCGGCGGUUGGGGAUGGACUCGCGGCUUACCAGCUUGUUGGUGGGGUAGUGGCUUACCAAGGGUUUGACGGGUAGCCGGCCUGAGAGGGUGACCGGCCACAUUGGGCCUGAGAUACGGCCCAGACUCCUACGGGAGGCAGCAGUGGGGAAUAUUGCACAAUGGGCGGAAGCCUGAUGCAGCAACGCCGCGUGCGGGAUGACGGCCUUCGGGUUGUAAACCGCUUUCGCCUGUGACGAAGCGUGAGUGACGGUAAUGGGUAAAGAAGCACCGGCUAACUACGUG